AAUGUGAGCGCGUGCGAAAGUGAGAGACGGCGAGGCAGAGACGGGCCCAGACAGAAGGAGAAAGGAACGAAGGCGGAGUAAUAUGAUCGAGAGAGAGGAGAAACGGAGUAAUGGGACGAAAUGGGGACGGCGCGAGAAAAAAAAUAUGUGUCACAGUCCUACUACUUCCAGACUGCCCUGUACAGCAAGCAAGCGAGGAAACGAAAAGCCACAGCAGCUCUAAUGCCAAAUGGACAAUUCCCAUCACAGUUUGAAUCUAACAACUUCUCAUCUGCUUCUGAAGAGUGGACACCAAUGUGAGCAGUCUGGACCCGUCACUUACAGUGAUGUGUGCUGCUGUGACCGAUGAAGAACCAUAACUAUUCUCAUAGUGUGCAGAUUUUAAAAGGGAAUAAAGAA